rnacentral:rRNA from 1 species
UACGUAGGGUGCAAGCGUUGUCCGGAAUUAUUGGGCGUAAAGAGCUCGUAGGCGGUUUGUCGCGUCUGCUGUGAAAACCCGAGGCUCAACCUCGGGCCUGCAGUGGGGUACGGGCAGACUAGAGUGGCGGUAGGGGAGAUUGGAAUUCCUGGUGUAGCGGUGGAAUGCGCAGAUAUCAGGAGGAACACCGAUGGCGAAGGCAGAUCUCUGGGCCGUAACUGACGCUGAGGAGACGAAAGCAUGGGGGAGCGAACAGG